rnacentral:rRNA from 1 species
UACGUAGGAUCCGAGCGUUAUCCGGAUUUACUGGGCGUAAGAGUUGCGUAGGUGGGCAAGUAAGUCAGUGGUGAAAUCUCCGGGCUUAACCCGGAAACUGCCAUUGAUACUAUUUGUCUUGAAUACUGUGGAGGUCAGCGGAAUAUGUCAUGUAGCGGUGAAAUGCUUAGAUAUGACAUAGAACACCAAUUGCGAAGGCAGCUGGCUACACAAAUAUUGACACUGAGGCACGAAAGCGUGGGGAUCAAACAGG